CUGGAGACGUAAUGCAGUUACAGUACCCACAUACCAGCACACUCUCGCAGUACCGAGAGGAUGAGCAAGGAAAUCAAGAUAAAUUUUGAAAAUUCGUUUGUGAGUUGUUUGUUAUUUGCAUCACAUGGUGUAACCAUUAGAAAUGCUCCAAAUGAUGUGAUCUACAACUUGAGCAUGAUAUUAAGUAUUGUGUUAAACUGCACUAGAACCAAAUAUUUAAAUUUAUCAAAAUUUUGAAAAAUAGAUGCAGAAUUGGUUUGUUUACAUUGUCACUGAGGAAGCCAGCAGCCCAGCAUGUGUUUAGUAAAAGGCAUCAUGAGCGCCAAAGCCUUCAAGGCUAUAUAGACCAAGAACGAGUCCACAAUGACUUCUUUUGCUUUUUCGGUUAAUCUGGAAGUGACAUCUGUGUAACAUACAAGCACAAAACUCACAUGUGAUGUAGAAGUCUCGGUGACCUUGCCAUAAACAAUAAAAAGAAAAAAAAAAAUUGGGGGGGACACUUGUCUAGUAUGGCUGUAAUAGCACUUGAGAGUGUGGCGAAAUUCGACAUUUUUAAGCCUAGCGAGCAAUGCACCAGUCAAGAGUAAACAUUUAAAUGAUUUUAUAUUAUUUAUAACUGGGAUUUGUGGGUAUCUAUAGAACUGAUCACUCUAAUCAUAAGCUGCCAUUCAUGAGACCACCAAUUACGACUUUCCAUGAUGUAAAGAAGAGGUUACAUACAUUCAUUAAAGAAGCUGCCAAACUCUACCCACCUCCAUCGCCCUGAGAAUCGAUCUACACACCACGUCGCUUCACUAACAUCAGUAGCUCACACCGGUUUGGAAGCAAUGGGUCAUCAUUCAGAAGCUAAGCUAGCAUGACUUGAGGCAGUAAAGAGAAAAGAAAGGAAUACCAGUCACCAGCCUAUGCACUCGUGUCACUAGCUCACGCUCUCUUUUCUAGCCUGCCCAACCUCACACCUCACCCCUUUAUCCUCUUCCCUCUGCCUCUCAAGAACCACCACCACCACCGCAACUCAUUGCUGAGUCCUACCAAGCAACACAGCAGGAUAUACGAAUCCAGCUAUUCCAGGAAAAAAAAAAAAAGAAAUCCACUCCCCUUCGAAGAUUAUGGGAAAUACGAGGCUGGAAAGCCUAGUAUCCAAGAUAUGCUACAAAUGCUUCAGGGAGAAGAAAACUGAGGCAAAAAACAACUUUGACAGCAUUAUCACCAUCACUUUUGUCAUGCCCUCUGAUAAUCUCACCUGCUAGUGAGUAUCCUAUCAAACAGGAGGGAACCAGGUACCUGAACAUAAUAAUAAAUACUAGUUUACUUUUGGUUGUCAUUUUUCUUCUAUUAUUUGUAUAAUUUUACUGAAAAAAAGCCAACAUA